UUAAGUUAUUAAGGGCGCACGGUGGAUGCCUUGGCACUAGAAGCCGAUGAAGGACGUUACUAACGACGAUAUGCUUUGGGGAGCUGUAAGUAAGCUUUGAUCCAGAGAUUUCCGAAUGGGGAAACCCAGCAUGAGUUAUGUCAUGUUAUCGAUAUGUGAAUACAUAGCAUAUCAGAAGGCACACCCGGAGAACUGAAACAUCUUAGUACCCGGAGGAAGAGAAAGAAAAUUCGAUUCCCUUAGUAGCGGCGAGCGAAACGGGAAGAGCCCAAACCAACAAGCUUGCUUGUUGGGGUUGUAGGACACUCUAUACGGAGUUACAAAGGACGACAUUAGACGAAUCAUCUGGAAAGAUGAAUCAAAGAAGGUAAUAAUCCUGUAGUCGAAAAUGUUGUCUCUCUUGAGUGGAUCCUGAGUACGACGGAGCACGUGAAAUUCCGUUGGAAUCUGGGAGGACCAUCUCCUAAGGCUAAAUACUCUCUAGUGACCGAUAGUGAACCAGUACCGUGAGGGAAAGGUGAAAAGCACCCCGGAAGGGGAGUGAAAUAGAACCUGAAACCGUGUGCUUACAAGUAGUCAGAGCCCGUUAAUGGGUGAUGGCGUGCCUUUUGUAGAAUGAACCGGCGAGUUACGAUUUGAUGCAAGGUUAAGCAGUAAAUGUGGAGCCGUAGCGAAAGCGAGUCUGAAUAGGGCGUUUAGUAUUUGGUCGUAGACCCGAAACCAGGUGAUCUACCCUUGGUCAGGUUGAAGUUCAGGUAACACUGAAUGGAGGACCGAACCGACUUACGUUGAAAAGUGAGCGGAUGAACUGAGGGUAGCGGAGAAAUUCCAAUCGAACCUGGAGAUAGCUGGUUCUCUCCGAAAUAGCUUUAGGGCUAGCCUCAAGUGAUGAUUAUUGGAGGUAGAGCACUGUUUGGACGAGGGGCCCCUCUCGGGUUACCGAAUUCAGACAAACUCCGAAUGCCAAUUAAUUUAACUUGGGAGUCAGAACAUGGGUGAUAAGGUCCGUGUUCGAAAGGGAAACAGCCCAGACCACCAGCUAAGGUCCCAAAAUAUAUGUUAAGUGGAAAAGGAUGUGGCGUUGCCCAGACAACUAGGAUGUUGGCUUAGAAGCAGCCAUCAUUUAAAGAGUGCGUAAUAGCUCACUAGUCGAGUGACACUGCGCCGAAAAUGUACCGGGGCUAAACAUAUUACCGAAGCUGUGGAUUGUCCUUUGGACAAUGGUAGGAGAGCGUUCUAAGGGCGUUGAAGCAUGAUCGUAAGGACAUGUGGAGCGCUUAGAAGUGAGAAUGCCGGUGUGAGUAGCGAAAGACGGGUGAGAAUCCCGUCCACCGAUUGACUAAGGUUUCCAGAGGAAGGCUCGUCCGCUCUGGGUUAGUCGGGUCCUAAGCUGAGGCCGACAGGCGUAGGCGAUGGAUAACAGGUUGAUAUUCCUGUACCACCUAUAAUCGUUUUAAUCGAUGGGGGGACGCAGUAGGAUAGGCGAAGCGUGCGAUUGGAUUGCACGUCUAAGCAGUAAGGCUGAGUAUUAGGCAAAUCCGGUACUCAUUAAGGCUGAGCUGUGAUGGGGAGAAGACAUUGUGUCUUCGAGUCGUUGAUUUCACACUGCCGAGAAAAGCCUCUAGAUAGAAAAUAGGUGCCCGUACCGCAAACCGACACAGGUAGUCAAGAUGAGAAUUCUAAGGUGAGCGAGCGAACUCUCGUUAAGGAACUCGGCAAAAUGACCCCGUAACUUCGGGAGAAGGGGUGCUCUUUAGGGUUAACGCCCAGAAGAGCCGCAGUGAAUAGGCCCAAGCGACUGUUUAUCAAAAACACAGGUCUCUGCUAAACCGUAAGGUGAUGUAUAGGGGCUGACGCCUGCCCGGUGCUGGAAGGUUAAGAGGAGUGGUUAGCUUCUGCGAAGCUACGAAUCGAAGCCCCAGUAAACGGCGGCCGUAACUAUAACGGUCCUAAGGUAGCGAAAUUCCUUGUCGGGUAAGUUCCGACCCGCACGAAAGGCGUAACGAUUUGGGCACUGUCUCAACGAGAGACUCGGUGAAAUCAUAGUACCUGUGAAGAUGCAGGUUACCCGCGACAGGACGGAAAGACCCCGUGGAGCUUUACUGUAGCCUGAUAUUGAAAUUCGGCACAGCUUGUACAGGAUAGGUAGGAGCCUUUGAAACGUGAGCGCUAGCUUACGUGGAGGCGCUGGUGGGAUACUACCCUAGCUGUGUUGGCUUUCUAACCCGCACCACUUAUCGUGGUGGGAGACAGUGUCAGGCGGGCAGUUUGACUGGGGCGGUCGCCUCCUAAAAGGUAACGGAGGCGCUCAAAGGUUCCCUCAGAAUGGUUGGAAAUCAUUCAUAGAGUGUAAAGGCAUAAGGGAGCUUGACUGCGAGACCUACAAGUCGAGCAGGGUCGAAAGACGGACUUAGUGAUCCGGUGGUUCCGCAUGGAAGGGCCAUCGCUCAACGGAUAAAAGCUACCCCGGGGAUAACAGGCUUAUCUCCCCCAAGAGUUCACAUCGACGGGGAGGUUUGGCACCUCGAUGUCGGCUCAUCGCAUCCUGGGGCUGUAGUCGGUCCCAAGGGUUGGGCUGUUCGCCCAUUAAAGCGGUACGCGAGCUGGGUUCAGAACGUCGUGAGACAGUUCGGUCCCUAUCCGUCGUGGGCGUAGGAAAUUUGAGAGGAGCUGUCCUUAGUACGAGAGGACCGGGAUGGACAUACCUCUGGUGUACCAGUUGUCGUGCCAACGGCAUAGCUGGGUAGCUAUGUGUGGACGGGAUAAGUGCUGAAAGCAUCUAAGCAUGAAGCCCCCCUCAAGAUGAGAUUUCCCAACUUCGGUUAUAAGAUCCCUCAAAGAUGAUGAGGUUAAUAGGUUCGAGGUGGAAGCAUGGUGACAUGUGGAGCUGACGAAUACUAAUCGAUCGAAGACUUAAUCAA
rnacentral:rRNA from 4 species